UAUAUAUAAAGAGAGAGAGAGAGAGAAAGAGAGAGUUGAGCUGGAAUGCUUUUGAUAGCAAACGGGCUCCAUUGCCACCUAUUUGUUUUCGAUGAUGGAGCUUCCAAAUCGACGAUCGGUACUGUUGAACAUAAUUUAUACUACUUGAAAUAUAUAGAAAUCAAAUUUUAAAUUUUUUCGACAUUAUUGGCCUGAUGGUCAAAGUAUUUUAAAAUCUGUCAUUUUAAUAGUCGAUAUGAUCGGCUCCUUUAGACUUGAUCUAACUUAUUUGAAAUAUUUAGAAAAUAAAUUUUACAAUUUUUCGAUAUCAUUUAUCUAGCGAUCGAAAGAGUUCAAAAUUAACGGUUGAAAGUAAAAAUCUCACAAAAAGUGGUAAUAUAGCGUUAAAAUUUUCAAUCAGAGAUAUUGAUAUUUCAGUAAAUAGUAUAAAAAUUUUUAAUCAUAAUUUCAUCUUAUUUGAAUGCUUCUACACCGCUAAACUUGCAAACGAUAUAUAUUAACCAUUAAAAAUGGUUGAUUUUGAAUCCAUUCGAUCGCCAGAUAAAUGAUAUCGAAAAAUCACAAAAUUUAUUUUCUAAAUACUUCAAAUAUGGUAGAUCAAGUCUAACGAAAUCGAUCGUCAAUUCGAAAGCUCUAUCAUUAGAAACAACUUAGGAGUACGAAAACCUCCAUACUUCUAAUAGUACACAAGACCUAUUCUCUCUCUCUCUCUCUCUCUCUCUCUAUAUAUAUAUAUAAUAUAAUAUAAUAUAUUUGCACUGUCCCAAAGUCACCCAAU
rnacentral:lncRNA from 1 species